rnacentral:rRNA from 1 species
AUUGAACGCUGGCGGCAUGCUUUACACAUGCAAGUCGAACAGCAGCACGGGUGCUUGCACCUGGUGGCGAGUGGCGAAUGGGUGAGUAACACAUCGGAACGUGCCUAUUAGUGGGGGAUAACGCUUCGAAGGAGUGCUAAUACCGCAUACGCCCUGAGGGGGAAAGUGGGGGAUCUUCGGACCUCAGGCUAAUAGAGCGGCUGAUGGCUGAUUAGCUAGUUGGUGAGGUAAAGGCUCACCAAGGCUUCGAUCAGUAGCGGGUCUUAGAGGACGAUCCGCCACACUGGAACCGAGACACGGUCCAGACUCCUACGGGAGGCAGCAGUGGGGAAUCUUGGACAAUGGGCGCAAGUCUGAUCCAGCAAUGCCGCGUGGGUGAAGAAGGCCUUCGGGUUGUAAAGCCCUUUUGUUUGGGAGCAAAUCCUGCUGGUUAAUACCUGGUGGGGAUGAGAGUACCAAAAGAAUCAGCACCGGCUAACUACGUGCCAGCCGCCGCGGUAA